CUACGGGGCGCACCAGUGGGGAAUAUUGCACAAUGGAGGAAACUCUGAUACAGCAACGCCGCGUGGAGGAUGACACUUUUCGGGGCGUAAACUCCUUUUAUAUAGGAAGAAGAUGACGGUACUAUAUGAAUAAGCGCCGGCUAACUCCGUGCCAGCAGCCGCGGUAAUACGGAGGGCGCAGGCGUUACUCGGAAUCACUGGGCGUAAAGAGCGUGUAGGCGGAUUAAAAAGUCAGAAGUGAAAUCCUAUAGCUUAACUAUAGAACUGCUUCUGAAACUCUUAAUCUAGAAUAUGGGAGAGGUAGAUGGAAUUUCUGGUGUAGGGGUAAAAUCCGUAGAGAUCAGAAGGAAUACCGAUUGCGAAGGCGAUCUACUAGAACAUUAUUGACGCUGAGACGCGAAAGCGUGGGGAGCAAACAGGAUUAGAUACCCUCGUAGUC
rnacentral:rRNA from 1 species